CUACGUUUUCAGCACUUCACGUGGCCUUGCCGGAGUGCACGGAUGGUACCAACAACUGCAGUACCAACACAGACUGCGUGGAGGAGUACCUGUACUUCAGCUGUGUGUGUUCAGACGGAUUUGCCUUCAAUGGAACGGAGUGCGAAGCUGUGGAGUCCAACUACAUCUCCUUCAAGAUCCUGGACCUGGAUCCCACCAAAGACUAUGACAACAAAACAUCAGCCGACUAUCUGGAGCUGACAGAGUUGUUAGAAGAACUGGUCAGGAACAUCACAGGGGACAUCUUGUCUGUGGAGCUGUUUGAUGUCAGGUUGCCAGAUGCCGGAGUAAUCUUCCAAGUCAACACCACAAUAUCAGACACAGAAAGCGUCAAGGAAGCGAUCUUUCAAGAGGCCUCAGAUGACAAUCUUGGUGAUUUUACUGUGGAGGGGAAUGCCACAACGUUCGGG